GUCUGCAGUAUGCUGUUGCCAGAAGAGGAUGUCUGUGUUGAGCAGGGUGCUCAGCUCUCCACGAGAUGCUAUCUACUGAGGUUAAAGACUUUUUGAAGUAAAGAGGAGCAUCUCAUCUGAAACUGAUGUCUAUCAUGGAUAUUUAACUGAAGUUCUGUGAGUAUCCCAACUUAACCAUGAAGAUGAACUGCAAACUGUAAGUCAUUAAUUUCUCAUUACUCUUGGGCACAUUGAUGUAUUUUUGCUUCCUGAUGAGUUAACCCGUUACCUAAAGGUUGAUCUGAGUAGUAAGGAUGUUUUAUUGGUUCAUUGGUUUCUUAGGUGUUUGGUUUAUGUUGGUUUUAAUGAUUUGUUAAAAUGGUUACGAGAUCCAAGUUAUUGUUGUAAGCUGGAGUAAUGGGUUGGGUUCUGAUGUCUUAAGUCUUCUUUCCAGCUACUCUCCUGAGCUCUGCAUCUUCAACACACGAGUGUUGCUUUACUGAUGAGGGUGUGGUCUGAGUGAGCGGAGGUGCAUACUGGGAUACAGAGCUGUCUGAAUUCUACAGGUCUGUAGGCACGCCCCCUCAGGGGAAACCAAGUGUUUCAGAAACCGUCGUGACGUCAGUUACAUGGACUAGAAUGUUCUCUAAGAUGGAGACGGGAUUCAGAAGGAGAAACGCCAGGGGGAGAUGAGGGGGCUCCUCAUCUCGACAGCUGAAACACAACUUCAGUCUGACAGAGAGAACCAUGGAACACAUUCAACAGUCCUCCAGGCAUCGUGACUCCUCAGGAAAAGUUUCAUUUCCAAGAAGGUCUUAUUUGGGGCCAUCCCCAUAUGGAUCCUGCUCCUCAAGAGCCAACCACCCUCCACUGAGUGGUCUUCUGAAGAGAUGACUUCCUUCCUGUCCUCAGGCUGAUUAAAGCUGCACCGUUUGCAUCUGUGAAUGCCCCUUAUUCAGGAAACCACUGGACUACAAAGACAUGACUUCAGAAACAUUGAAUCAACCUGGGACACAUUUUGGAGACGCCAAGCAUAAUCCAUCACCAAUGUGGGACGCCACUGAAAAAUGUUGCACAUAAUUUACUUCUCUGGAGAUAUUGGUUGUUCUGUUCUGGGUGCCCUGGCAGGAGAGCUGGGGUUGGAUGAUGGAACGUUAUUUGGCAUGAGGUUUUUACCCUGCAUGAUUGUUGGCCUUUUAUGGCUCAGUGGUGUGUGUGUGUGUGUGUGUGUGUGUUUGGGUUUGACAUGAGAUGGAUGAUUUUUCAUCGCUAGGGUUCUACUGUGUGUGUGUGUGUCUCCCACUCACACCUGGCAUGGGGUUCUACGUGCCUGUCCUGGGUUCUAUGCGUGUGUCUGUGUCCGGCUUGCUUUGACAGUGAUAAUGUUCGUACGGGGGGUCUGUGUGAUUGGCUUGGGAUAUUGGAGUGGUCAAAUAAAUCAUACCUGAUGGACGGCCACACGUUUACUUAAGGACCUCCAGCAGAAAUGAGCCCAGAGCGACGCUGCGGAGCGAUAUCCAACACACUGGGCAGGAAGGAGGGUAUCCAACUCAAGUGUAAAAGGAUGCAAGCGGCGUGUUCAGAUCAGUGACUUCAAACUAGGACUACACCAAUCAGGAUCAAUGGAGGAUGGACACCUAAAUUCCACAAGGAGUCUGACGUUGGAAAGGGACCUAAAUGGAUAUUCAAGAUGACCUUCAGACCUGUAAUGAGACAGCUCUUCCUACCUGGCUGGAUUGAUGGAGAGCCCUGUGGAUCUUGUCUUGAUCUCAGUUGCACGUCUUCUCAGGCUGAACUCUAAUUGUCUCGGACAGGACUAGCUGAACGAUUGGUUCCCUUAAAUCAGAACCAAUCCGGGAACUCCAGCAAGUGCACUCUUCGAGCUGAAGUUGUGCUCUUCAGCUGAGGAGCUAAGGAAACCUUCACUGGGGCUUCAAGAUGUAAAGAGGAGAAUGUUUCAAAGUGUUCCAUGGUACUCUGAUGAAGACCGUUGGUGUGUUCCACUGGCUGAGAGGAAGAACCCACACAUCUUCCUCUUGGCCUUUCUCCUCUCAGAAUCCUGGCGCCAUCUUGAAGGAUAUUCCAGCUCAUGUAACUGAUGUCACGACAUAUUCACAAACACUUGGUUUCUCCUGAGGGGCGUUUCUAUAGAACUGAAGACUUCAGACAGCACUGUAUCCCAGCAUGCAUCUCUGCUCACUCAGACCACACCCCCAUGAGUAGGAUGCAACACUCUAGUGAUGGAGAUGUAGUGUUUUAUAAGUAACGAGGGAGCAGACUAAGGGGAUUAGAACACAAUGGCAUGUUAAGUCUGUAAAUCUUUAAACCAUGAAGAUGGUUGGAAAAGUCAGGAAUUAGGCUUAUUUUUGAUAUGGGCAGUCCUUUCACUCGGAUGCUCACUUCUUACUGGAAAUGUACAUGCGUUGGCUGGCUGGCAUGAUUUGCUGUUGGUGAUGAGGUGGUCAGGGUGACGUUGCAGGGCUAUGGUCGGCUCUCUGUGAGCUCAACGUUUAGAUUUUCUCUGUAUGGUUUGUACCCUGAAUAAUCUAGAUAAUUGUAAAAUGUAGACACGGUUUUGCAUUGAAUGAUUCCAGGAUUUUAGUUUUAAAGUUGUUGUACAUGGUAGUUUGGUUCUUCGUAUGGUUUUGAGUGAUUAUAACUUGUACACACUGGGUGCAUAAUAAUGUAAUGUUACAUUGAAUAGUAUUAAUGACCAACAGCAACAAACAGAUCUCCUCAAGGUAAGUCUGUUGGCUGUAUUUUAAUGAAGAUCAUCGCUGGACUUCAGGAUCUUCCUCCGUUCAGCUCAAGGUGAGGCGCUGGUUAUUUUUCUUUGGUUGGUUCCGGCCGGAAUGUUCGGAUUCCAGUCGGACGGUUUGUGCUUCCCGCCGUGGAAGGUUCUGAGUGCGGUCACUUGAUUUUAGUCCCAAUGGUUAGCAUAGAAAGUUGUAGUCUUGACAACCAUAAGAAACCACCUGGCAGUUAGUUGGACACGAACGUCGUACAAUAUGUUAAUUUUCGAUGUUUGCGCCGUACUUUUAACCACGUUGACGGGACUCUCGCUGCGUACAAUACGGCGUUCUACUUGCGGCCCAAUUUUUGACCUCGGUGAAGGCUGAAAAUUAUUUCAAGGUGGAAGACAAUUUGACAUUUCUUCAAAGGAACCCAGCACCUGAAUAUGAGUUGAGUAAAUUUGAUUUAAUAUUGAUACUGCUUAGUGUUCAUUGUUACUUCACCUUUUGUACGUUCUAAAUAUAUGCUGUCAUUAAUUGCCACAGAAGUUAAACCCUACCCAAUAGAAUGACGUAAAUCAACGACUUUGAUGCAGAGUUACCAACUGGAUAAUAUCAAAGCUAAAAUAAUGGCCGUCAUUUCCACAUGUUGCAGUAGAAGAUACUCUAGAACUGUAGAAGGUUAAAAAAGGUAAAAUGUAGUUUGUCCCAUGGUGUCUGCCUCCUCACCCAGAGCAAGACCUCCACCUCCUUACCCAGAGCCAGACCUCCACCUCCUGUCAGAAGUCCUCCAGAACAGCUCAAAGGUGAGGCUGAGAGGCUUGGGACCGGAGGCUUGUGGUGCCAGGAUGGACCGGAGACUGAGGCUGGAGACCAGGGGCCUGCAGCACCGGACCAGAGGACCAGGAAUCCAUGGCUGAAGGAGCUGAUGGAGGAGCCGCGCUGAAGGCCCUGCCUGGUGGAGGAGCUGAUGGAGCUCCUGCCUUGUGGAGGAGCCGUGCUGAAGGCCCUGCCUGGUGGAGUAGCUGACGGAGGCCCUGCCUGGUGGAGGAUGUCUGUCGUGGGGACACUGGUUUGGAGGAGAGCUGAUGGAGGAGCUGAUGGAGGAGCUGAUGGAGGACUGAUGGAGGAGCCAUAAAACCAAGAAUCUGGAGGACUGACGGAGAAGCCGUACAUCUGGAAGGCAAAUCCUGAGGACGAUCAGGACUCUACCAUCAAGGAUUCCUCACACACCUGAGCUGAACCUCACCUGAUCCUGUUUGGUCGGGGGCAGACGCACCUGAGCUGAACCCCACCUGAUCCGGACAUCCUGCUGGUCCCGUCUCCUCAGUUCAUCUGAGCCUCUUCCUCCAGAAGACAUGCUGAGCUCAGCGGUCUGAGGCUGAUGUAUCAAUGACCUCCAGUGGGAGUGAUCUUCUUGACCCCACAUGUAGCCGUGUGCUUCCACACGCCUUUCCCUCAUGUCUGUCACUAACCUCAUUACUUCACUACUCUCUACUCCUUCCCCUUCUUCCUUCUCCGUGGUUCGAACCUUUAAUCUGAAGGAGUGUCUCCUUGAACCUUUACACUGAAGGAGCGUCUUCCUGCCCUCAGAGGGUUCAGCGUUAGGGUUGAGAGUCAGGGUUUAGAGUCAGGGACAGAGCUGGUCAGGGAGGGCUGGUUUUACAUAAACCUUUUCACUUGCUUUCUGAAUGGUGGUGACAUUUUGAAAAGAUUAAUUUGGGAAAAUGUUUUCCUCUGCUUUCCUUUACAAAAAUAUGUAUUCAACUUCUGUGUUUGUAACCAGACCAGGUAUCCAUGGCUGAAGGAGCUGAUGGUGAAAGAGCUGGUGGAGGAGCCGUGCUGACGGCCCUGCCUGGUGGAGGAGCCGUGCUGACGGCCCUGCCUGGUGGAGGAGCCGUGCUGACGGCCCUGCCUGGUGGAGGAGCCGUGCUGACGGCCCUGCCUGGUGGAGGAGCCGUGCUGACGGCCCUGCCUGGUGGAGGAGCCGUGCUGACGGCUCUGCCUGGUGGAGGAUGUCUGUCGUGGGACCAGGACUCUGUCUGAGGAGAGCAGAUGGAGGAGCUGAGACGCUGGAGGACAACUAGGAAUCGACCAACAAGGAUUCCUCAACGUGUUUCUGUAGCGGAGGCCAGCUGGUAGGGGAGCCGUGAAUCUGGAGGAUGACCAUCACUCUACCAACAAGGAUUACUUUAGGGCCAGACUCGCGCUGUUUGUUCCAGACCAGGACUCUGGCUGAGGAGAGCUGAUGGAGCCAAGACUCUGGAGGACGACAUCACUCCACCAACCAGGAUCCUCACCAGGAAUCUGGAAGACUGUUGGAGGAGCCGUACAUCUGGAAGGCAAAUCCUGAGGCCCAGCAGGACUCUACCAUCAAGGAUUCCUCAUAAGUUUGCAUUAUCUGGACAUAGUGGACUAGACACACCUGAGCUGAACCUCACCUGAUCCUGUUUGGUCGGGGGUUGACACACCUGAGCUAAACCCACCCUGAUCCUGACAUCCUGCUUGUCCCGUCUCCUCAGUUCUCCUGAGCCUCGUCCUCCAGAAGACCUGCUGAGCUCAGCAGUCUGAGGCUGAUGGAUCAAUGACCUCCAGUGGGAGGGAUCUUCUUGACCCCACUUGUAACCGUGUGCUUCCACACGCCUUUCCCUCACAUCUGUCACUAACCUCACUACUUCACUACUCUCUACUGCUUCCUCUUUUCUUCCUUCUCUGUGGUUUAAACCUUUAUACUGAAGGCGCGUCUUCCUGCCCUCAGAGGGUUUAGCAUUAGGGUUGAGAGUCAGGGUUUAGAGUCAGGGACAGAGCUGGUCAGGGAGGACUGCUUUCACACAAACCUCUUGACUUGCUUUCGGAAUGGUGGUGACAUUUUGAAAAGAUUCAUUUGGUAAAAUCUUUUCCUCUGCUUCCCUUUACAAAAUUGUAUCAAACUUCUGUCAAGUGUUUUUGUUUAAAUAUUAAAAUCCCACAUUGACUUCUACAUGUUUGGUGCGGUUCAUUUAAUUGUCCUUUAACUUGGUUAAUGUCAAGCUAAACUCCUGCAAUACAUUAAUAGCCAUGAUUGUUAUUUGGCAAUGUUCACAUAAUCCAUUUUGUAAAAAUAUGAAACCCCAAUAUUGCUA
ensembl:lncRNA